GAUGAAGAACGCAGCGAAAUGCGAUAAGUAAUGUGAAUUGCAGAAUUCAGUGAAUCAUCGAAUCUUUGAACGCACAUUGCGCCCGCCAGUAUUCUGGUGGGCAUGCCUGUUCGAGCGUCAUUUCAACCAUCAAGCCCCCGGCUUGUGUUGGGGACCUGCGGCUGCCGCAGGCCCUGAAAACCAGUGGCGGGCUCGCUAGUCACUCCGAGCGUAGUAAUACAUCUCGCUCAGGGCGUGCUGCGGGUUCCGGCCGUUAAAAAGCCUUAUUUACCCAAGGUUGACCUCGGAUCAGGUAGGAAGACCCGCUGAACUUAAGCAUAUCAAUAAGCGGAGGA
rnacentral:misc_RNA from 1 species